rnacentral:sRNA from 1 species
UUAAGAAAAAUGGUCGAUGUCGGCCUUCAACAGCGACUCCGGAGGAAUUGUGGCCCCCUCCAGCUUGGAAGUCAUCGGGAUCGCUACACAAGGUGAGAAUAAUGGCAUCUUUGAGGACAUCCGGACGGUAGACAAUGUCUCUUCCGCGAGUGUCUGAUCGUAUUAGUGAACCAAGGUCUGACCAGCAUUUGUCAGACAUGUUCUUAGCUAUAUGCGAGAGUAAAUCAUUGAAAAGAGUCGGGUUAACCAUAUUUGAAAUGAGAUACUCCGAGAUCGUCAUUAAGUUUUUCACUUUAAUAACCACUACUAUGGAUUUAGUUGGGGCAAUUACGGUUGAAUUAAAUGUCAUAUAUGUGUUGGUCAGCGUUGGAUGUCAAAUCAAUUUAUCACCUUAGUUAUGUUAGAAAGUAAAUUUAACGUGUAUGAGAAAUAUAGAUAUAUGUGGGAGACAUAUGUUUUAACGUGUACGUACACAAUACAUAUUGUUUGAGAAGUGUACGAUGUGUA